rnacentral:rRNA from 1 species
AUGGCAUCGAGCACUGGGGAGGAAGCUCCUGCCUCACCCGUUGUGGGAAAUGCUCCUCCACUGGUGACCACGGAAGCCAAGAUGAUUGUGGCCAUCGGCCAUGACCAUUGCCAGAAGUUGAAGGAUGUGUUGAGCAAGGAGGAUUCUUCCACCAUGGUAGUGGUGAUGGCCUCAAGCAACCAGACUCCCACGCCGCCCAAGCCUCGCUUGCCGGUCAUGGAUUCCAGGCUGCUAGCAGUAGCUUGCUCUGGUUCAUGGAAGAAGCUGCAAUCAUUUCUCAGUGGGGAAGACCGUCAAACCUCCGGCGACGGGGCUAUCCGAAGCUCUGCUAUGCAGCCAGCUUUUGGUGACGAAGAAGCACUUCUCAGGGAGUCUUUCCUGGAUGCGGUCACCAUGGACGGUGACACUUUUCUCCAUGUGAUGGCCACCAACAGUGAUGGUGAGAACUUGGAGGAAGAUGGCCCCAUACGCAGGAAGGCAGUAAGCCUCGUCUUCAUGCAAAACAGCCAUGGAGAUACGCCCCUGCACUAUGCUGCACGGGCGGCGAAAAUGAAUAUGGUAUCUUUUCUCAUUGAUCUUGCUGGAGGCAAGGAUCAAAAUGCUGACAGAGUGAAGGCGCUGCUAGAAAUGGAAAACAAGAGUAAAUGGACAGUCUUGCAUUAGGCGGUCCGCAGUGGGAAAAAUGAUAUAGUCGAAUUGCUCAUGAAGGAGGAUCCAGAAUUGGCAAGUCUUCCGAAAGCUGGUACUUCUCCGCUGUACCUAGCCAUCUUACUGGAAAACAGAAUCAUCGCCAAAACACUCUACAAGUUUAACGACGAGAACCUUUCAUACUCUGGACCAAGUGGACAAAAUGCAUUGCAUGCUGCUGUU